rnacentral:misc_RNA from 1 species
GAUGAAGAACGUAGCGAAAUGCGAUAAGUAAUGUGAAUUGCAGAAUUCAGUGAAUCAUCGAAUCUUUGAACGCACAUUGCGCCCCCUGGUAUUCCGGGGGGCAUGCCUGUCCGAGCGUCAUUACAACCCUCAAGCUCAGCUUGGUGUUGGGCCCCGCCGCCCCGGCGGGCCCUAAAGUCAGUGGCGGUGCCGUCCGGCUCCGAGCGUAGUAAUUCUUCUCGCUCUGGAGGUCCGGUCGUGUGCUCGCCAGCAACCCCCAAUUUUUUUCAGGUUGACCUCGGAUCAGGUAGGGAUACCCGCUGAACUUAAGCAUAUCAAUAAGCGCAGGA